UUACGAGGGCUCCUCCCUUCAGCUUUGGUCCCUCGGGGCGUCUGGGCAGCCUACGCUUUCCGCCCUUGGCAGCUCAGGUUCCGCGGGAGGACGUUCACCUGCUUCGCGGUCUCGUGGAGGUCCACCGCGGCGGAGAAUCCUAAACCUCACCUGUGACUCGGCAGGAUGAGCGGCCAGCACUCCCGACGGAGGCCCUCUGGGAGAAAAGAGGCCCUUGGCCUCGAGACCCAGGAAAGCGGGCUGUUCAGGAGUUGGUUCGCGCAGUUACACCGAAAGCGCCGUGGGCCUCAAAGCCGCAGCCCGGAGGAUAAAAAUGGCAGAAUGAAAGAAUUAUGAGUGGAACUAGAGAAUAGGAAAGACAUGAACCAACGCCCAAAAUGAGAAAGAAGGACAUAUAAAGAAAAAGACAAAUACAAGUGAAAAAAAUAGACUAAUGGAUUAACGUCCCUGUCGUGUGACAUUUUCUGGUAUGACAGCUGAAGAUGUUGAACCGUAUGGUGCAGUUUUGCAAAUAGUGUAUGAAGUGGGUUGUAAGUUUUACCAGUAAUUGUC
rnacentral:lncRNA from 1 species